UCUCUCUCUUUUGCUGCCACUCUCCCACCCUCUCUCUCUCCAUCUCCCUCCCUCCUCUCUAUCUCCUCCCAAACUCUCGGAUCCAUCUUCCAAACCCACCCCCCUUUCUGUCUCUCCACCCAAAAUUUCUCUCUCAACCCAAACUCCAAUCUCUCUCUACUGCAACAAAGUUCGCACAAAUCACAGCUGCCCUUUGAACUGGGAUCUGGCCAUCUACCAUCUAGUGUAAUCUACCAUCUAGUGUAGUGUGACGAGAUCCUAGGCCAAGACAGGAAACCCAUGGUCAAAAAGUUCGCAAGCAGAGGCCAGAUGCUUGUGUCACUGAUGGAGUAUAUCCUGCGCUCCAUAUGAAGAAGAGAAGCCUACAGUUGUUGCCAUGGUCCCUGAGAAAGUAGUCGUUUAUUAUAAGCCCGAUUGUUCUUAUACUGUUGAUGUUCACCGAUCUUUUUCUUUUGAAAGGAAUGGGUAUUUGUUUCAUGAUAUCAUUACAAAUGUAGUUCAGUUUUCAUACAUCUCUUUCUUGUUUGGUGAUGUAAUGUAAUAUGGUCAGUGGG